GACGAACGCUGGCGGCGUGCUUAACACAUGCAAGUCGAGCGGUAAGGCCCUUUCGGGGGUACACGAGCGGCGAACGGGUGAGUAACACGUGGGUGACCUGCCCUCAGCUCUGGGAUAAGCCUGGGAAACUGGGUCUAAUACUGGAUAUGACUCCACGGUGCAUGUCGUGGGGUGGAAAGCCUUGUGCGGCUGAGGAUGGGCCCGCGGCCUAUCAGUUUGUUGGUGGGGUGAUGGCCUACCAAGGCGACGACGGGUAGCCGGCCUGAGAGGGCGACCGGCCACACUGGGACUGAGACACGGCCCGGACUCCUACGGGAGGCAGCAGUGGGGAAUCUUGCGCAAUGGGCGAAAGCCUGACGCAGCGACGCCGCGUGAGGGAUGACGGCCU
rnacentral:rRNA from 1 species